GUGAUCAGUGACAUGGGACUGAAUACAACACGAGUGGCAUUGGAAUACAUCGCCGUAAUACACUGUCGAGCUGUUGGUAUAGAAGGGUCAUCCGCUGCUGCAGUUUGUUCUAUAUACCUAUGUCGCUGCGCCUUCAGACUUCCGUACACCUGGCCCAAAACACCUGCUCACUCGCUCCCUCCCGCUCACCUGUCUCAAGGCUCAGGUGAAGAAGACUCAAUCUGAAGCACCUCAAUGUAGCGUUAUUAGAAGGUCCUAUUCACCCCUGUCGACUACCCUGCCAGCCUGUCUUCGUCUUCCUCGUCUUGGCAGGGGAAAGAAAUACAGAGCAGCAGGGAAACAGGCGG